ACCAGUAUACGAGAGGGGUGUGGUUGGUAUAUUAUAAAUAUAGAAGGGUAAGUGGGUUGGUUGUGGAAUAUCCAAAAGGAAAAUUAAAGAUGUGGUGUGGUUGGAGAGAAGAGAUGGAGAAUAGGUUGCUUGGUGAAAUGAAAAGCAAAAGGAUCAAAGUUUCUUGAAAGCUUCAAGGGAGAGAUUUCUACCUCCACAAGAGAGAGGGUGGUCUUGGCUUCUUGUACUGAAUUUAUGUUAUCAAGUUUUUCUACUUGGCUACUUCUUGUUGGGGUCUGAUUUUGGAGAAGGAAGCUGACGGUACGGCGGCGACGGCGACGGAGAGGCACGGCCACCGCGUUGCUUAAAACGCGCCGUUUUAUCA